GACGAACGCUGGCGGCGUGCUUAACACAUGCAAGUCGAACGGAAAGGCCCUGCUUGCAGGGUACUCGAGUGGCGAACGGGUGAGUAACACGUGGGUGAUCUGCCCUGCACUUCGGGAUAAGCCUGGGAAACUGGGUCUAAUACCGGAUAGGAGCCAUUUUUAGUGUGAUGGUUGGAAAGUUUUUUCGGUGUAGGAUGAGCUCGCGGCCUAUCAGCUUGUUGGUGGGGUAAUGGCCUACCAAGGCGGCGACGGGUAGCCGGCCUGAGAGGGUGGACGGCCACAUUGGGAACGGGAUACGGCCCAGACUCCUACGGGAGGCAGCAGUGGGGAGUAUUGAACAAUGGGCGAAAGCCUGAUGCAGCGACGCGGAGUGGGGGGUGACGGACUUCGGGUUGUAAACUCCUUUCGUCAGGGACGAAGCAUUUUGUGAAGGUACCUAGAUAAGAAGCACCGGCUAACUACGUG
rnacentral:rRNA from 1 species